UGGAGAGAGGCCAACCUUCCAGUGCUGUGGUAUCCUGCAUAACACAUACUCAACUCCCUUGAGUAUGGUGGUGCAGCCUGCAGAAGGACUUGAACUUCUUGGUAUCACAGCCUAAGUCACAGAGUUGGAAAUCCAGUUGGAAAGUAAUAAAUGGCCAAGUUCUGCAUCAGAAGAAGCUGUUUUGACAAAACAAAGCAUUGGGGACUUGAUUUUUGUUUGACAACUGGUGACAGAACCACUCUGGGGAAGUAAACAUGACUGAAAUGAUAUAUUGCAAGUAAUUUUCAGCAAUGCCCUGGCACUGACAAAACAUAGUAAUCAGUGGCCCACAGGUCUGUUGUAUGCAACUCUUAAAGCACCUGCCUGUGAGACUGUGCUCAUUCCUCAGGAGACUAAGCCACCACAAAGACUGCCAUCUCUUCCAGCUGUUUGGAGGUUGAAGGCUGUGGCUGGACAUAUAGUGUCCAGGGUCCUUAGAACUCAUGGUAGCCUCACCUCACCAAACCACCCAACAGCUGGCUCUCAGAGGAACCCCAUGGACACAUCCACACAUGGAGGUGACUUCAUUUAGUGGUUUGUUAAAAGCCUUCGUGCUGCUGGUGGUGGAGUAUUUCUGUCAUUUACUAUGCAUACACCAUCCUGACUGGCCAAAGUGACCUUUUAGGAAAAUAAAUAUUGGGGGUCCUUGUCCUUUGUCAGUGCUGGAUCUAAGAGAAAACAGGAAGAUAGCAAUACAAGAAAAUAAUUUGCCCAACGACCACAUCAAACAACCCAUUAUUUUUUGUAGUUCUUUCAAAAGGAGAGUGCUGGGGUUUGAACAGGAUUGAGCAGAACUGAAUAGUCUGAGAAAACAAGGGGAGUAGGCAGAGUAAGACUUAGGUCAUUCUGAUAAGGUGGCACAGCUGCAGAAAAGUGGCCUUAGGAGGCUAGCAGAGAAGCUGAGAAAGUUCUGAGCUGUGCAAAGAGGGCAGGCUGGUUAGCCCUGGGAACAAGCAAAUGUUGUGGCUAGCUGCGCAAAGGGGAUUUAAGAGGGGUAGUUGGUCAGGUCUGUCUCUGUGUGUGUGGACAGCCCAUACUCUGCUUUGUAAGCCUAUCAGAAGUACACACCCCUGGCUUCAAUAAACGGGUUGACCACCUAUGUACCAUA